rnacentral:tRNA from 1 species
AGGGAUAUAACUCAGUGGUAGAGUGUCACCUUGACAUGGUGAAAGUCAUCAGUUCAGGCCUUAUUAUCCCUA